UACGUAGGGUGCGAGCGUUGUCCGGAAUUAUUGGGCGUAAAGAGCUCGUAGGCGGUCUGUCGCGUCGAUCGUGAAAACUUGGGGCUUAACCCUGAGCUUGCGGUCGAUACGGGCAUGACUGGAGUUCGGCAGGGGAGACUGGAAUUCCUGGUGUAGCGGUGAAAUGCGCAGAUAUCAGGAGGAACACCGGUGGCGAAGGCGGCGUUCUGGACUGCAACUGACACUGAGAGACGAAAGCCAGGGGAGCAAACGGG
rnacentral:rRNA from 1 species